rnacentral:rRNA from 1 species
GCAAGUCGAACGAACGGAGGAAGAGCUUGCUCUUCCAAAGUUAGUGGCGGACGGGUGAGUAACACGUGGGCAACCUGCCUGUAAGUUGGGGAUAACUCCGGGAAACCGGGGCUAAUACCGAAUGAUAGAAUGUGGCGCAUGCCACGCUUUUGAAAGAUGGUUUCGGCUAUCGCUUACAGAUGGGCCCGCGGUGCAUUAGCUAGUUGGUAGGGUAAUGGCCUACCAAGGCAACGAUGCAUAGCCGACCUGAGAGGGUG